GCCCUUUCUAUAAGACUGAGUAAAAAGUAUGCAACGUUUUGAAACACGAAAUUCAUCACAAUCUAUUUUAACAAUGCAGAAAUUUUAUACAAAGUAAGUACCAUUGCAAUCAACACAUUUUUGCCAAUGAGUUACAAGUUUAUU